rnacentral:lncRNA from 10 species
GUCUGUGAUCAAAUUUUGUUCCACACCCAAUAUCAGACAACAUGUGCACAUCUUGGACAAGACUAUUGGGGUCUGUGAGGGGAAAUCCCUGCCAGAGCCCCUCAUUAUCAUAUUUUUAUUUCAUUCCUAAGGUAAUAAGCAAAAAAAGAUUCCACCACUUCUUAGCCUCUACAUUCUCCUGGAUAAUUUUAUAUCUUUGUUAGAAAUAUAAAAUGCAGCUGUAGGAGUCUUUACAAGUCUAAAGAAAAGAGCUAAUAAUAGUAUAUUUUUAUGGCCCACAAUUUAUCCUGCUGAAAAAGGGCAGUUACAUUCUUAGAGUUGAUUAUUGCUACAUCUUAAAUUUUCUAAUUGUUUUAGAUUUUUCACUUAUUUUAGACACUUUCACUUUGCCCCCUAGAGUAAAUUAAGAUGAAAGGUAAAUUAAAAGAGAGGAAUUCAACAUGAAGAGAAUAAAUAAACAAAACACAGAUUGCAAAGCAGGAAUGAAAACAAGGUCUCUGAGAUCAAUCUGUUAAAGGAAUGCUACAAAUGUGAAGUGUUUACUAUUUUAAAACAUUAAUCAUGUACUCACCCUGUUUAUUUAGCUAUCAAUAUUUUUCCUGUAACUCUGACUUGAAAAUGUGUAAGCUGUUUAGAAUUAGGACUCACACUGAAGACAAAUGAUAUUUUGAUUAUUUAUAUUGCCUAGCUUGUCUUAAAACUUCAGAGUUGUAGACUUUUCAUUUCAAUUUACACCUUUUUUAAAAGUCGUUAUUAUUUUGUAUAAUGUGACAUCUCAAGUAACUUUUAUUGCCACCCACUACCAUACGCCCAAGCCACAGGCAUUAAAGAUAGGGAGCCCAAGGCCUCCAUCAAUAGGACUAUUCAGAAGAUGGCUAACAUCUUGCUUUUACCUAGAAUGCAUGCCUCAAUCCCAAAACAUGCCAUUGUAGGACUGGCCUGGUUAUCAGAAUUAGCAGUUCCAAAGGGCUGAGAGUUUCCCAAGUUCCUGGGAGUAUUUUCUAGGCAGAGAUAAAUUAUUUUUAAUAAAAACUCAUAAUUUGGAUAUGAUAAUGAAAUAGCCACCAAAGCUACUAUAUACUCAACAUGAGCAGGAGACUCUCAUCUGAUCUCACAAAAUUAAAUGUCUUGUGAAAAAGAGAAACAGUUCACAUAAGGUUGAUUUACCAUUUCUACCCAUUGAGAAAGACAGGAAAGCAUUAGAAUUUUCUCCUGGAACAAGGAUAGGGAAAAAUUCCCCCUCAUUGGAGCACCUAAACAAUGGCAUAGAUAAGAUCCCCCAAAAUUGUAUAUUUCUCUUGAAAAUUAUUAUUGCUGCUACAAAUUUACCCAUACAAUAUUCAAGUGUGCUAGAAAAUGGUGGUAUCUUUAUUUUCUAUGGCCGACCUAAAAUUCCUCAAGUACCUCCAUCCCAUUUCUUCUCAUUUUAACAGUUUAGCCUCCAGUGAAAGCUGUUUCUUUCCCCAUCCAUCAUUUUCCCUGAUUGGUGUGGGGGUAUAGGCCCUCAUGGUGGGUAUCACUCUAGCUUUUGGAGUGCCAUCUGCUUCAGGGUCUCACAUGGUGUUUGGGUGCUGGCUGAAUCUACAUGUUUCACAUUCAAUAUCCUGGGAACACCCAGCCUCUUGUGUUGGCAAGCCAGCCCAUGCCUUGCCUGGCACUCUGCUUCAGCCUGUUUUAGAAAGCUCAGAAGCCUAGUUCCUACCUCUGACCUUUCUUUCCACAGUCCCUGAGAACCAGAAGAGCUGUCUUUUAUUUCCCCUCUUGGUCAGGCCAUGGGGACUUCCUCCUGCUCUAUGUCGUCAUCCUCCCAAGAGUGAUAUUUGCCUUCUGCCUUUAUAUAUGCCAUUGAGGGCAAGGUUGCUGUUGGGAAGGGAUAACAAAUGAAAUCUUCAUGAGUUUCACAGUUUCCAAUUUACAUACCCUUAGAGUUAUGCAGAGGGCCCACUGUGGGCACAGUGGUUCCUAGGUGCUCCCAGUUUCUUCUCUCUGGGUCCUUUACCACCUUCCAUCUUUCCAUGGUAACUCCAACAUUGCCCUCUGGGUUCCCAGUGUCCUCCCAAGAUGCUCACCUCCUUCAAAUUAAACAUUUCUGGAAAACUGGCUCGUACAUCCUCAAUGUCUGACAUGACUGUAGGUAUCACUCUACUGGGGGAGUUACAAAGGACUAACACUUGAGCCAAAGCAAUGAAUCAUCAAGGGUGUCAUUUUGAGCGUUACUGGUUGAAGAAGAGCAUAGGGGCAGAAAAGGAGUUUUCCAGAUUCCACUGGAACAAUAUCUUGUGGAUAAGAUGGCCUCCUGAGGUUUCCCUAUUUAUAUGUUCUACCAGAGAUGUAUGCAUAUGCACAUGGAUUGCAUCUACAUAAACACACAUAGACAAUUUAAAUUGAAAUAUCAAGACAUGUCAGCAUGAGAUUAACAACCAUAAGAGAACCCUGAAAACUAAUAAAUAUUCUGUAAAUAUUUAGUGCUAAUAUGCGUCCACUUAGUUGACACAGACCUUCUUAAAUAAAGUAAUAAUAAAGAAUUACAGAAAAAAAUAAAUAAUUACAGAAAUGACAUAAACUAGCCCAAGCAUAUCUCAAAUAACUGUGUUGGUUCCAGAGUCACCUAAAGAGCCAGACUUUAACAAAGUGUUUUUAUCUAGUGAGAGAAAUGACCACAGGCAUCUUGCUAUGACCAGUCAUUAAAAACAAUGUCAAUUGUCCUUUUCCUAAAGGAUGUAAUUUCAUGCAAACCUAAAUGUGUUAACAAAAGCUGAGUCUUCUAUUUUGUUGUUUUUAUUUUACAUUUAUAGGCUAUAGGAGUCUUGAAUUAGUGGGUUUUUUUAGUUACUAAAACGAUAAUAAUUUUUAGUAUUUCUAAUACUCAAUAAUUCUUAAAGAAUAUGUGGUGCUUAUUUUUAUUUCACAAUUUCCCUGGAAUUUCUGACAAGAUAAAACUUUCUGCAGGAUUUGGUGGAUGUGUUUCUCCUUGGCUUGGCAGCUCUGUUGAUGCCUCGCAUGAUAACAUUUUGAGGUUUUGAGGAAGGAAUCUAGAUUUGCCCAGGUGUAUCUUGAUGGGCUUUGUGUCUGGAUGUGUUCAGACAAACUUCAAUGACAUUUCCAUCAAUUUCUUACUUCCUGGAAGGAUCAACCAUCUUUCAAAAUUCAAUUAGAAACUUCAGUCAAAUUCCUUGCCUUUGUUGCCAAAAUUGUCACGAAUACCCAUCAGAGAGUGCUGACAACCACGCUGUUCUAAAGUGAAAAUGUCUACAGCCUUGGUUUUGGUUGGCUUUACUAAAUAGAUUUUUCUCCUUUAGGAAGGAUCAUUAUCACAUCACUACUCCUGUUUCCCUCCUUUACAGCCCAAAGCAUGCCUUUGUGUUAUGUCCCCAGCAUUCCACAGGGUGGGUGGGUACACAUCUUGACGCACAAGCAUGCCACCAUGUUUUGGGUACAUCUGUGUCCAUGUUUUCAAGACCCUCCUCAGGCAAUAGGGGACCUACGCCUCACAUAACUCACAUAAAGAAAAAUGCAAAUGUAGGAACCCACCUCCCCCAUUAAAGAGCAGCAUCCUCUUCCAAGGAAGGCUGCUUGCCAAAGAAAUAGUUCAUAUUUUCUUGAGUUUAAUUCAGGUUGUCAUUCAAUGAUCUUUUUAAAUUAAAUUUUAUAUGAUAAUAGUAGCUACUCUAAUUGAGGAACCUACUGAGUGUUUGAUUCCUCUGUUUUGUAUCUUAGGUAAAUGAUCUCCAAAUUUCAAUAAUUCUUUGAUGUUAUUUGUUAUUAUUUAUUUUAGUAAUUUUUAAGUUUUGAAAUAAAUUAAUAGUAAAAUAAAUUGUUUUAAUUUUUUAAUUGUAUUAUUUAUUUAUUAUUUGGGGGCAUUCUCCAUUUGUGAAUAAACAUAGCCUCAGAGAAGUAAAGGAAUUGGUCCAAGGUCAUGCAACCAGUAAUGGUGCAGAGUAGGAUUGCAAACCCAGGAUUUCUGAGUCCCUGCCCAGUGUUAGAUUUUAUAUUGAACAACUUGGGGUACCAUCUUCUAUGCUCCCAGCCCACCUUGUACCCCAGUCACAGCAGUGGCAGCCAGUCUUGCACAGGGAGAGCCUGCAGUGCCUCCUGCAGCCAUAUGGCAUAGAGAGGUCCGCUGACACAGUGACAGGGGCCUGGCAUUCACACAUGGGAAGUCACAAGUGUUGGGAGUUCAUUCUGUCACCACAAGAAGCUGAUCGAUAAAGGCUUUCUCCUCCCAUUCUCUGGGACAAUUCUGGAGUCUGUCUGACAACUCCUUAGAAAGUGCCAGUGGGAUCAAGCUCAUUACUCAUAUUGACAGCUGGCUCAAAAAUGCACCCUUGAAUUGUUUCUGUCUUGCAGUCUUAUCUCUUAUUUCCUAGAACAACUUCUGAAAGAGAAAAAAGUCUUUGUCUCAGUUUCUGCUCUCCAGAGGUAACCCAAAGAGGUAAGGAACCCAGUGAGAAAGACAGAGAGAAGUAUGGACAAGAAACAGAUCCUAAACCUGUUUUGUUUUAUUUUUGGUAGUAGUUGUUUAUUUUUGAAAACAUUCAAACCACCUGUAUUGGUGGCUGUUAUUAUGAAAUAAAUAAACUGAGAAACAACAAGACAAUUUGGCCUCUACAAUUUGUUUAGUUUUGACUAAGUAUUUGCCUUGGAAGAAGUAUGUGUACAAUACUCAUUUUUAAAAGAUGCAACAGUCACCUCGUUACUUGGAGUUUUACUUGAGACUUGAAUGGACUGAAACCACCUGGUCACCACUAGAAGCUACAUCAAGGAAAAGAAAGGCAACAUAUUGAAUCUCUUGGGAGAAACUCAUCCUGUAUCUGCUCGAUUGAAAACAUGAAGGUGCACAUUCCAAGCUGCAUAUGCUCAGGUCCGAGUUUCCAAGGAAACAAGGGACUGCUCAUCUAUCUGCAAAACUGAACUGACGAGUCACUUUCAGCUUGUUACAAACCUUGAUUCUGAAUCAAAUUCUAGUGUGCAGUCUAAAAAUUCUCACUGCCUUGUCAUUUCUGCCGAGCAAACCCCUGAUGCUAUGAGGCUGGCAGUUGGGCAGGGAUUUUCCUGGGUUGUGCACUCUAAUUUUUUCCUCUGCACUGUUAGUGAAAUACUGUCAUUGAGAACCAGCUCCACACUGCACCUAUGUGAGAAAGGCCUUGGUUUCUAUCAGUAAAGUCAGACAGGGCUAUGUGCAUUUGGGAUGCCCUGGUCAACCAUACAGGAGGAAGCACAGUGGUCUUCCCAGCUCUCACAGUGGCCACCAGCUCUCAGGCUCACAAACUAGGCAAAGCAAAGAGCAACAGAACAACCUACUUCCCAACUUUCAUUAGUCACUCAAAUCCAAGUGGGUGAUCGUAUUUCUGAAGGUCUUGAAUACAGGACUUCCUGACCAUUCUUUAGCAUUUACUGAUGAAAGUAUUUCAGAUGUGUUAUGUUGUUUGGCAUGUGUUAUGUUGUUUGGCAAUCACAGUAAGUGUUGAGAUAGAUACUAUGAUUAUCUUCAUUCUCUAGGAACAGGCACAGAGAGGUUAAGUAAUUUCCCAAAGGUCACACAGUUUGUAAGUGAUAAAACUGAUUUGAAGCCAAACUAUGUCACCCCAAACUCAUAUUUUUAACACUUUAUUCCAUCUUCUAAAAGGCUGGCUAUUCUAUUUUUCUCUAAGUUUCAAAUUAGUAUGCCCAUUCCCUUGUUCAUUCAUUCAUUCAUCCAACAAACAUGUGUCAGGCAUCUAUGCCAGGCUCUGUGGAUAUAGUAUAAUAACAAACAAGACAGAUAAGAUUUCUCAGGGAGCUUACGUUUUGUAGAGGAGACUAAAUAAAUAAGCAAGCACAAACAAUGUAGAGUUUGUAAUAUUACCUAUCCCAGCAAAGGAAACCAACACUAGUGUGAGAAAAUUAAAUUAUAAAAGACCCUAACAUUUUCAAGAUACUGAAGGGGAUGAGAUGAAGCAGAGGUAGAGUGGGGCUGGAUUAUGCUGAAACACAUAGAACAGACUGGAUUCUAUUUUAAGUGAGGUGAUAAAUUCUUAAGGGUUUGUCAUUUUUGAGGUAGAACUGUCUUUUGUUCCUAUUGUAAAGAAACUACAUAGGUAGGCAUAAAAUACACCUGUAUGCCAGAGAUAGAAAAAUUCAUAUAAUUCCCAACUCCAAUUCUAUUUCUCUAGGAUAAUUUUAAUUGUGUAUAUGAAACAUAUCUCAAUGUUCUUGAAAGACUGAAAUCCACUCUUUUUAUUAUUUAUUGACUUAUUGAUUUGUGGUUAAGGAAAAAGUAGACUGAAGUAAAAAUAAAGAGUGCAGGAGUAUAAUUGCACAAGAAGUGGGAGGGAGACUUGUUGAACAGGCAACAGCCUAAAGUGAGUAUCCAUGAGUGGGCUCAGUAUGACCCUGCAGCUCCCCCAUCACACUUGCACCCACCUCAAGGAAUCCAGUUCACCUCUAUGGAAAAUCCCUGGGCUCCACGGGACAGAGUCUUGUUUUGUUUUACAUCUGUGUGUCCAUGCCUAGCCAGUAUCUUGUUUAGUGCAGCCUUUCCAUAAUAUUUGUGGAGAGAAAGAAAAAUGAAAGGAAGAAGAGAGGGAGGGGAAAAAGAAAGUGAGAGGAAAGAAGAAAGGUAAAAAGGAAGUAGCACUCUUGGUUUUGCUUCUCCUUGGCUGUUUCGUUAUUCUCAGUACUCCCCAACCCAUCUUCCUGGGAUAAGAAAAAAAAAAGACAUCUAAAAUGACACUUCCAAAAGAUUAAUAUUUUCAUUUCAACACUUCUGAAAGUAUUUCAAUGAAAUUGCUUUCAAAUGGUUUAUUUUAUAUUAGAUCAUUGAGAGAUAGAUUAAUGUCAUAAACGUAGGUACUAGCAAGCAAUAUUUUUGUCUCCUAUGUGCACAUAUUGUAUAUUUCAUAUCCUCUGAUAACUUGAAGUCACUAAUUUAAGUCAAAUUAGGGAAAGGGCAGUAUAGUAAUUGCAAUAUUUUCGGCUCCUUCUUGGUAACAAAUGCAGCUUCUUUUUUCCCCUCCACCCAUAUAUGAGUCUUCUUUUUCUUUGGCUAAGAUAUAAUAGCACUGCUCUACAUGAACAAAACUAUUUUUACUGGCUAUGUUAUUACUGAGAAAUGCAUUGGGAAAAUGUAAAAAUAUUUCACCUUUAUGUUGAAGAAAAUAAACACAGUGGAUUAGAUAAAAUUUGCACAGCUCUUGACAUGUGCCAUAUGUAACAUUUGGGAAACAUCAAAAAAGAGGCUCUGACUUCUUCGGAGAAUCAUAGACUCUGGCACUGGAGGGGGACUGAUCCACCACCCCACCUCACUCCAGCAAUUUGGGCAAACAAGACCUAAAGAAAUUGAAGGAUAAUCUAAAGUUUACAUUAUUAAUGGAAGAAACAAGACCAGAA